GGAAGCGUUGGGAAAUCGAAGGAGGCAUGCGAUGCAUGAGAAAGACUUUCACUUCUGUUCCCUCUUCCUGGCUCCCCGGACCAAACAUGCACCCCCUUUCCUGUGUUCUCCCUGCCGUCCGCCUGGCCUCACCCUGUCCGCGGUAGAUGAGAAGACGGAAGCCCAGAAAGGCACACUGAUUCUCCAACAUCACACAGCUAAACAGCAGCUCUCUGAUCUCCUUGAGCCCACCAGGCAGCCCUCUGAUGCGUUAAAAGGACACAGCCUGGAGAAGGAUGCACCCCAAAUAACGAUCAGUCCAUUGUACGAAGGAAUACCAUUCCAUGGUACAGAAGAUUUUGAGCAGGAGAGGGAUGGAGUCGAUUCUGCACUGAGAAAGAUGCUUCGGAGCAAUGGUGGAGGACCAGCCAAAGAGGAAGCCUGGAGCCCUGGUUCAGGGGUCUGAGCUGGGACAGGAGAUGUGUUCCAGGGCUGUAGGAGGAGCAGCAAAAGUUCUCAGGCCACGGGCGAGGAAGAAGCUACUGCUAACCUGGGUUCUCUAGGGGUGAGACCAGGACUUCCCCAAAUGACUCACUCAUUAUCAGACCUCCUUCCCCGCCCCGGUCUCGGGAUGGAAAAAACACUUUUCUAGGAAUGCAGCAGGGAGGUGGAAGGAAGCUGCAAUCAGUAGUAACUCUUUCCCAAUCCUCUUUCAAGAAAGACCUUCUUUCUCAUGGGAAGGAAGAGAACAGGCAUUUUCUGAGUCCUUCUGUGGCCUGGCACCGCAUCUGGAAAUGCAGGAAUGAAUGCAUCCUAGCCCUGGACUGCAAGGGCUUCAGAGCCUAAAGAUAAAGAGGGAAAGUGUUUCAAGAGAGCCAAUUUCGGAGACAUGGAAAAUGCUUCCCGAGACUUUUUUCCCCCUCACCAAUAAAAUGUGAUUUCCCGUUUAUAGACA
rnacentral:lncRNA from 1 species